rnacentral:rRNA from 1 species
GAUGAACGCUAGCGAUAGGCUUAACACAUGCAAGUCGAGGGGCAGCAUGGUCUUAGCUUGCUAAGACUGAUGGCGACUGGCGCACGGGUGCGUAACGCGUAUGCAACUUGCCUCACAGAGGGGGAUAACCCGUCGAAAGACGGACUAAUACCGCGUACACUCUAUUUUGGGCAUCCAAGGUAGAGGAAAUGAAAUUCGCUGUGAGAUAGGCAUGCGUCCCAUUAGCUAGUUGGUGAGGUAACGGCUCACCAAGGCGACGAUGGGUAGGGGAACUGAGAGGUUGAACCCCCACACUGGUACUGAGACACGGACCAGACUCCUACGGGAGGCAGCAGUGAGGAAUAUUGGUCAAUGGGCGAGGGCCUGAACCAGCCAAGUCGCGUGAAGGAUGACUGUCUUAUGGAUUGUAAACUUCUUUUGUAGGGGAAUAAAGAGGGGCACGUGUGCCCCAGUGAAUGUACCCUACGAAUAAGCAUCGGCUAACUCCGUG